GGAGCACAUGCAGACUAGAAACAUGCUAUGACUUGAACCUGUCCCUCAAAAGCUGUGUCUUAGAAAAUUACUCCACAGUAGAAGAACGUUGGGAGGUAAAAUGGUGGUGAGGAUCAAAGCUCUUGGGUUCGAGACUUUUCUGACCUAGAAGUGCACAAUGUUCAUUGGCAGUAUUAUUUGAAGGACUUGGAGGGCUCUCACAGAGAUUGGCCUCAUUUGACUGAAAAUUGGAGCAGGACUUCCGAUUUCCUUGGUGUUCAAGGAAAACUAGAAACCUACAAUUCAAAAAGGAAUGCCGGAGUGGAAAUUUACGCUCUCAAAACCUUCACCCCACAACAGAUGGAAACAGAGGCAGAGAACCAUAUCCGAGCACUGGACGAGCUCCCAAGGUACAGUUGAAGAGUGGAAGAAGUGAGAAUAUGAGCAAGGAGGUCAAGACCAUGAGGAGUUUACCCACUGAGACAGUUUGCCUGAGCUAAUGGUAGCUCACCAACUCCAACUGGACUGGGAAUGAAUGAGCAUGGGAUCAAACUAGUCCCCCUGAAUGUGGUUUGACAGUUUGGGGCAGACUGAGGGGCCACUGACAGUGACACCGGGAUUUGUCUCUACUGCAUGUACUGGCUUUUUUGAAAUCUUAUUCUCUUUGGAUGUAUACCUUGCUCAACAUAGAUGUAGUAGGGAGGGCC